rnacentral:tRNA from 1 species
GGCAACAUGGCCGAGUGGUCUAAGGCGCUGGAAUUAGGCGGUUACGGCUUAUCCAGUCCGAAAGGGCGUGAGUUCGAACCUCACUGUUGUCA